UGCCAGACUCCUACGGGAGGCAGCAGUGGGGAAUACUGGGCAAUGGGCGCAAGCCUUACCCAGCAAUACCGCGUGAGUGAAGAAGGUCUUCGGAUUGUAAAACUCUUUGAUCAGGGACGAACAGAUGACGGUACCUGAAGAACAAGCCCCGGCUAACUACGUGCCAGCAGCCGCGGUCAUACGUAGGAUCCGAGCAUUAUCCGGAGUGACUGGGUGUAAAGAGUUGCGUAGGUGGCAUAGUAAGUAGCUAGUGAAAUCUGGUGGCUCAACCAUUCAGACUAUUAGCUAAACUGCUAAGCUCGAGACCGUUAGGGGUAACUGGAAUUUCUAGUGUAGGAGUGAAAUCCGUAGAUAUUAGAAGGAACACCGAUAGCGUAGGCAGGUUACUGGGACGGUUCUGACACUAAGGCACGAAAGCGUAGGGAGCAAACGGGAUUAGAUACCCGCGUACCA
rnacentral:rRNA from 1 species